rnacentral:rRNA from 1 species
UACGGAGGGUGCGAGCGUUGUCCGGAAUCACUGGGCGUAAAGGGCGCGUAGGUGGCUUGGCAAGCGUGUGGUGAAAGCCCGGGGCUCGACCCCGGGUCUGCCGUGCGAACUGCUAUGGCUUGAGCACUGUAGAGGCAGGUAGAAUUCCGGGUGUAGCGGUGGAAUGCGUAGAGAUCCGGAAGAAUACCGGUGGCGAAGGCGGCCUACUGGGCAGUGGCUGACACUGAGGCGCGACAGCGUGGGGAGCAAACAGG